rnacentral:rRNA from 1 species
UACGUAGGGGGCAAGCGUUGUCCGGAUUCAUUGGGCGUAAAGAGCGUGUAGGCGGCCAGGUAGGUCGGUUGUGAAAACUGGAGGCUCAACCUUCAGAGGUCGACCGAAACCAUCUGGCUAGAGUCCGGGAGAGGAGAGUGGAAUUUCCGGUGUAGCGGUGAAAUGCGCAGAUAUCAGGAAGAACACCCGUGGCGAAAGCGGCUCUCUGGAACGGUACUGACGCUGAGACGCGAAAGCGUGGGGAGCGAACAGG